AUGCACCAUAAAGGGCUCUUUUCAGGCCCUUUCAGAGAGGGAGCGGGGAGGUCACCCGGUCUACAAACCCUUUUGUGUCCGCCGGGUCUCCCGGGCCCGGGGUGCGGGGCCUCCAGCCGCAGAGCACGCCGGCCCGUGGGAAUCCCAACAUUUGUGUUCGGUUCGCCCGCCGGGCCGGGGGGGGGGGGGGGGAGACCACCCGGCCCUCCCCCAGCCCGGCCCCCCGCCCGCCCGGGCUCGUUCACAGAGCGCAGCGAGUGGAACGAAUGGGUGCCGGCGUCCUCGGACGCCCGCGGAAAUCCAAUGAUAAAGCGGGACGGGCCCGCCCCCGCCCCCGCCCCCGCCGGGGCCGACGCCCACUGCGCCCUGCAAGUUCUGGGCGUGAGUCCCCGAGUGAGGAGGAGGAGAGCCCACAAGAGCCAGGUGCGCUGGCCUUGGUGCUGAAGGUUUCUUUCCAUCGUUUGAUUUAAACAUUAUUGUGGGCAGGUUUGGACAGAGAGCAAAAUUUAUCAAAGCCAAGAGCUAUUCACCCAUUCUACUCCCUUGAUAGUAUCAGGUUCUGUGCUAUCUCUGGGAUCAUAAAAAGAUGAUUCCACCUCAGAAAAAGAAACGAUGGCUGAGACAGAGUGAUCUUAGAAAGGUGCAUCUGCGAAGG
rnacentral:lncRNA from 12 species